GAUGAACGCUGGCGGCGUGCCUAAUACAUGCAAGUCGAGCGAACAGACGAGGAGCUUGCUCCUCUGACGUUAGCGGCGGACGGGUGAGUAACACGUGGAUAACCUACCUAUAAGACUGGGAUAACUUCGGGAAACCGGAGCUAAUACCGGAUAAUAUAUUGAACCGCAUGGUUCAAUAGUGAAAGACGGUUUUGCUGUCACUUAUAGAUGGAUCCGAGCCGCAUUAGCUAGUUGGUAAGGUAACGGCUUACCAAGGCGACGAUGCGUAGCCGACCUGAGAGGGUGAUCGGCCACACUGGAACUGAGACACGGUCCAGACUCCUACGGGAGGCAGCAGUAGGGAAUCUUCCGCAAUGGGCGAAAGCCUGACGGAGCAACGCCGCGUGAGUGAUGAAGGUCUUCGGAUCGUAAAACUCUGUUAUUAGGGAAGAACAAAUGUGUAAGUAACUAUGCACGUCUUGACGGUACCUAAUCAGAAAGCCACGGCUAACUACGUG
rnacentral:rRNA from 1 species